ACCCGCUGAACUUAAGCAUAUCCAUUAGCGGAGGAAAAGAAACCAACAGGGAUUGCCUCAGUAACGGCGAGUGAAGCGGCAACAGCUCAAAUUUGAAAUCUGGCCUCACGGUCCGAGUUGUAAUUUGUAGAGGAUGCUUUUGGCGAGGUGCUUUCCGAGUUCCCUGGAACGGGACGCCAUAGAGGGUGAGAGCCCCGUACGGCAAGACCACCGAGCCUCUGUAAAGCUCCUUCGACGAGUCGAGUAGUUUGGGAAUGCUGCUCUAAAUGGGAGGUGUACGUCUUCUAAAGCUAAAUACCGGCCAGAGACCGAUAGCGCACAAGUAGAGUGAUCGGAAGAUGAAAAGCACUUUGAAAAGAGGGUUAAAAAGUACGUGAAAUUGUUGAAAGGGAAGCAUUCAUGACCAGACUUGGGCUUGGUUGAACAUCCGGCAUUCUCGCCGGUGCACUCUGCCAGUCCAGGCCAGCAUCAGUUUGCCCCGGGGGACAAAGGCAGUGGGAAUGUGGCUCUCUUCGGGGAGUGUUAUAGCCCGCCGUGUAAUGCCCCUGGGGUGGACUGAGGAACGCGCUUCGGCACGGAUGCUGGCGUAAUGGUCAUCAAUGACCCGUCUUGAAACACGGACCAAGGAG
rnacentral:rRNA from 1 species